rnacentral:rRNA from 1 species
GUUCGUUGGUGACACGGAGGAUCAUUACAGAGUUGAAAAACUCCCUAAACCAUCGCGAACGUUACCCUUAACCGUUGCUUCGGCGGGCGGUCCACAAGACCCCCUUGGCCCCCCUUUCGCGGGGGGGGCGCCCGCCGGAGGUCACGUUUUAAACUCUUGAUACCUGUACGGCCUCUCUGAGUAUUCUGUACUGAAUUAAGUCAAAACUUUCAACAACGGAUCUCUUGGUUCUGGCAUCGAUGAAGAACGCAGCGAAAUGCGAUAAGUAAUGUGAAUUGCAGAAUUCAGUGAAUCAUCGAAUCUUUGAACGCACAUUGCGCCCGCCAGUAUUCUGGCGGGCAUGCCUGUUCGAGCGUCAUUUCAACCAUCAAGCCCUGUCUAGGCUUGUGUUGGGGCCCUGCGGCUACCGCAGCCCCCUAAAUGCAGUGGCGGGCUCGUUGUCACUCCGAGCGCAGUAGCGUAUCUCGCUCUGGGCGUGGCGGCGGGUGCUAGCCGUGAAACACCCACUAAGGUUGACCUCGGAUCAGGUAGGAAUACCCGCUGAACUUAAGCAUAUCAAUAAGCGGAGGA